CAGCCGCCGCGGGAAUACGUAGGUGGCAAGCGUUGUCCGGAAUUAUUGGGCGUAAAGGGCUCGCAGGCGGUUUCUUAAGCCUGAUGUGAAAGCCCCCGGCUCAACCGGGGAGGGUCAUUGGAAACUGGGAAACUUGAGUGCAGAAGAGGAGAGUGGAAUUCCACGUGUAGCGGUGAAAUGCGUAGAGAUGUGGAGGAACACCAGUGGCGAAGGCGACUCUCUGGUCUGUAACUGACGCUGAGGAGCGAAAGCGUGGGGAGCGAACAGGAUUAGAUACCCCGGUAGUCCCUGUCUCUUAUAC
rnacentral:rRNA from 1 species